rnacentral:lncRNA from 1 species
CUUCCUAGUGGAGAAGAGAAGAGAAGCAAUGGACACUUCUGGUAGUAAAGUCUCUUAGCAGAGUGGAGCAAAUCUCAGUUGCAAUGGUUCUCUCUAAAAAGGAGCCAGAGUGCUACAUCCUGCACAGAGACCAUCCCACCUUGAACACAACUUCACUUAUAGCAUGACUUCCUGACGGUCAGGAUACCGUUUUCCUCACAUCUGUGUGAUUCCAGGAUAUCUUCCCUUCACAGCAGCAUGUAUAGCCUGACAUUGGACACUCAGGGUAGAUUUUUCUUCAGAGCCCUAGGUAUCCAAAGAUUCAGUAAUAGGAUGACCUCCCAAAAGUCGUCAUACAUUUCUCUUCAGAGCUGCAAGUCACUAGGAAUAUAUUUCCUGCUGUCCAGGACUGGAAGAGAAUAUACUAAGCUACAAAUUUCACAAACUAGAGCCACGUCAGCCCCUAGGUUGGAAUGGCAGUGCUGAGGCAAUCUGUGUUGCCUUAGUCAUCUGAUCACUGCUAUUAUCUAUUAGGGGAGCUGCUGUUCUCUUUAGGCCCAACUGGGGAAUACUAGCUAUUGUGGCACUCUAGGCAAGCCUAGCAAUCAAGAGCAUCAAUGGGAGGUACAUUCUGUCUUUUUUUUCCUAAAGUUCUCCUGUAAUGCAUGUAUAAGAAGCCAUGUGGGUUACCAUACACCAUGCCAUGUUGAGUGAAGGUUACCUUAACUGUCAUAUCUGUUGGGAAUUGAAUGGAUCUUGAGACAGUCUGGUUCUUUGGGUCCAUGAGAUCACCUGUGCAUUGACCCUUCCCCAGUAAGUCUUUCUGGAGUGUGCAUUCACUAGGGACAGGGAGGUUUUCUAGGCCCAGCUAUGGGAGAUGUGCUAUUUAAAGCAUCAUUGUCAUGUGUGAACACACAGGCAUUGCUUUCAGUGUGUUGCAUUAGGAAGACAGAUUAUAAAACUGACAGCCUGGUUUGCAGAAAUUCCCCAAGUUGCAAUCCACAUUCAGGUCUGUGUGAUCAGUUCUACAGAUAGUUUAGAAACUGGUAGAAAUGAUGAAAUGAGGGUCAUCCUUCAGAAAUACUUGAUUAGUAUGCUUUUAACUUUCCUCUACCACCAGCUAUGUUGUCUUAAUUCAGGGAAAUACUAUUUCAGUGAAGAAAUGACAUUUCUGAGCUGCAGAGGUUCCUUUGCUGUUGAUGGUGUUGGGCAGCUACAUAAGCAGAUUCCACAUCUUGUGCCACAAUCCAUUAGUAAUGAUAAUCUCUCUGAUCAUUCUUUCACAAAUAUUGUACACAUUCUUCAUUGUUGUGGAUAUGUGUUAAGUACUAAAAUUUACAGCAUGUGUACCCUGUUUUCUUAAUUGUAUUGAGAAUUCUUAGUUUUUCCACAUGUCACAUACAUUUGUAAUCAGCUAUCCUUUUAUAAUUUGUUGGGAAUUUUGUAUGGAUUAUCUUUAAUUUAUUCUGUAAAUAUAAGCAAC